UAAAGAUAGCUAGCAAAAAUAGUAGUUCAAAUCUUUUCCCCUAGUCACCAAUUCAUUUCAUAUAUAUGCCUCUUCACAGCAUGGAAGGAGCUUCAGAAUCAGAAGAGAAACAGGCAGAAAGAAAGGGAUCGUCAAUGCUAUCUAAACCUCGGCACGAAAUUCAUCUGGAGCACUCAUUUGAGCAAGAAUGUAUGACGAAGUUUGUAGACGAAGGUUGUGAAGUGUAGGGUAUUAAGGAAACCUCGACCACGAACCUUCAUGCCCGAGGGCAUAUGGCAUGUGAGAGGUUUCCGGCCUUCAUCAACCAUAUUUUAACGUUCUCCGACGGUUAGGAGUGCAGACAUUACAAUCUCCUUUAAGCUCUAAUCUUGCUCCUCUUACUUAAAAUACAAAGAAAAUUGUUUAAAGCAUACAUAUAUCCUCUGCUAGCUAUCUAUGAUCGAUGUAAUGCGACAUUGUAAACCCAUGUCAGGAAUUAAAGUAUCAAAGAGAUGGAUGGAUGGAUAUAUAUGUAUCUAUUUAUACAAAAUACAUAUACAUAUAUUGAUUUUACCUCUGAA